GACGAACGCUGGCGGCGUGCUUAACACAUGCAAGUCGAACGGAAAGGCCCUGCUUUUGUGGGGUGCUCGAGUGGCGAACGGGUGAGUAACACGUGAGUAACCUGCCCUUGACUUUGGGAUAACUUCAGGAAACUGGGGCUAAUACCGGAUAGGAGCUCCUGCUGCAUGGUGGGGGUUGGAAAGUUUCGGCCGUUGGGGAUGGACUCGCGGCUUAUCAGCUUGUUGGUGGGGUAGUGGCUUACCAAGGCUUUGACGGGUAGCCGGCCUGAGAGGGUGACCGGCCACAUUGGGACUGAGAUACGGCCCAGACUCCUACGGGAGGCAGCAGUGGGGAUUAUUGCACAAUGGGCGGAAGCCUGAUGCAGCAACGCCGCGUGCGGGAUGACGGCCUUCGGGUUGUAAACCGCUUUCGCCUGUGACGAAGCGUGAGUGACGGUAAUGGGUAAAGAAGCACCGGCUAACUACGUG
rnacentral:rRNA from 1 species